rnacentral:lncRNA from 1 species
ACUAGGGGAUGUGCUUGUUGCCACCAGGGAGAAAACAACGGUGUUUGUGACCACGGUUGCAAGGAUUGUUUACCUUACGCAUAGUUUGUUAAUGUAGUUGUCUGUUCCUUUGAGUUUACACUUUGGGUGGGGCUCGCCACUUAAUACCGGAGAGAUGUUCUGGAUAGAUAUCCCAAGGUGGAUGAUUAGUAAGUAGAUGCUGAUGAAUAAAUGGUUUACUUGUCUUCGCGUACUGCCCAUUACUAUUGAACCUCUAACUAUCAAGGAGCAUAAUUAGCAUUGCAGUGCGAUCAUAAUUCUGUCAAUUGCCCGACUGUAAUUUUUUUACCCUAGCAUAGUUGUUUAUCGUCUUUUGGGAGAGAAACAUCACUAGUGAACAUCAUGUGACUCCGGUCCAUAUCACCAUCAUUGUUUACACCUCCAUCAU